CGAGAGGUGCGAGCGGAGCUUCACCCAGGCCACGCAGCUGAGUCGGCACCAGCGCAUGCCCAAUGAGUGUAAGCCGAUAACCGAGAGCCCGGAAUCAAUCGAAGUGGAUUAACUGAUUGACUGGCUGGAAUUAAACAGCAAGGAAAGUCAUGAUUAAAUGUCACGGACACUUAAGCAAAACCAAAGAUUUCCUCUGAACAACUUUCAAUCAGUCCCAGAAAACCAAAAGCAGUAAUAAAAUAAGUAAGAUGUUAAGAGAUAUUGAUCCUGGCGUGGAAGUCAGACCAGGCAAGAGAUUAUUUAUUUAUGACUAGGGAUGAGACAGAUUUCCGUGGACAGCUCACCUGGGAUGGCUAGUGUUUCCAGUCCCAACCGUGUGUUCGCUUUGUUUCUAAGAAACUUUUUAAAAAAUAACUGUUAUUUAAUACCAAAGGGAGGAUUCCUCUGCCCACAGUUGUGAGUAAGAACGCACAGGGACUUGGGACUUGGUUCUCGUCGCACCUUUUUUUCUAGUAGCAUGUUUCAAGGGGACCCGUUCUAUGGCCUUCCUCCUGUCUAGGCCUGGCUUGCCCGGUGUUGGUUACCCCAGCAAGGAAGGCUGAGACCCAAGCAAGAACCUGCAGCCUCAGAGGCAGCCCAGUUCCAUAGUUUCCUUCCUGAUGCACUUUCACAUGACUCCUCCCACCCCACAGCCUGGAACUGAUGCUGGAAAAGGAAGAAAAUGGUUUCGGAUGCAAAACUCAAAGGAUGAACGUGGAGGACUUGCUUUGUCCUGUCUGGAUUUCAAACACAUUUAAAGUGUACCGAGCUUCAUAAUCCAAUAUACUGUUCCGAAGCAGCUAGCUGAGAAAACGUUGGUUUCAAUAACAUUUUAGCUUAAGAAAAAUGAAAACAGAAAUAAAGUUCUUUGGUCUGAGGCUGAAUCUAA
rnacentral:lncRNA from 1 species